rnacentral:misc_RNA from 1 species
UCGCGGCUUAUCACCGGCAGUCUCCUUAGAGUGCUCAACUAAAUGGUAGCAACUAAGGACGGGGGUUGCGCUCGUUGCGGGACUUAACCCAACAUCUCACGACACGAGCUGACGACAGCCAUGCAGCACCUGUGUCGGCUCCCCUUGCGGGGUCGGGCCCCUUUCGGUUUCCUACCACCGACAUGUCAAACCCAGGUAAGGUUUUUCGCGUUGCGUCGAAUUAAGCCACAUACUCCACCGCUUGUGCAGCCCCCCGUCAAUUCCUUUGAGUUUCAGUCUUGCGACCGUACUCCCCAGGCGGCGAACUUAACGCGUUAGCUUCGAUACUGCGUGCCAAAUUGCACCCAACAUCCAGUUCGCAUCGUUUAGGGCGUGGACUAC